AUUGAACGCUGGCGGCAUGCUUUACACAUGCAAGUCGAACGGUAACAGGCCUUCGGGUGCUGACGAGUGGCGAACGGGUGAGUAAUGCAUCGGAACAUACCCAGUCGUGGGGGAUAACGUAGCGAAAGUUACGCUAAUACCGCAUACGUCCUGAGGGAGAAAGCGGGGGAUCGCAAGACCUCGCGCGAUUGGAGUGGCCGAUGUCAGAUUAGCUAGUUGGUGGGGUAAAGGCCCACCAAGGCGACGAUCUGUAGCGGGUCUGAGAGGAUGAUCCGCCACACUGGGGACUGAGACACGGCCCACGACUCCUACGGGAGGCAGCAGUGGGGAUUUUGGACAAUGGGGGAAACCCUGAUCCAGCCAUGCCGCGUACGGGAAGAAGGCCUU
rnacentral:rRNA from 1 species